GAUGAACGCUAGCUACAGGCUUAACACAUGCAAGUCGAGGGGAAACGAUAUUGAAAGCUUGCUUUCUUUAGGCGUCGACCGGCGAAUGGGUGAGUAACGCGUAUCCAACCUGCCCCUGAGUAAGGGAUAGCCCAUCGAAAGAUGGAUUAAUACCUUAUAGUUUCCUUUGAAGGCAUCUGAUUAGGAAUAAAGAUUUAUCGGUAAGGGAUGGGGAUGCGUACGAUUAGGUAGACGGCGGGGUAACGGCCCACCGUGCCAUCGAUCGUUAGGGGUUCUGAGAGGAAGGUCCCCCACACUGGUACUGAGACACGGACCAGACUCC
rnacentral:rRNA from 1 species